rnacentral:rRNA from 1 species
GACGAACGCUGGCGGCGUGCCUAAUACAUGCAAGUAGAACGCACAGUUUAUACCGUAGCUUGCUACACCAUAGACUGUGAGUUGCGAACGGGUGAGUAACGCGUAGGUAACCUGCCUGGUAGCGGGGGAUAACUAUUGGAAACGAUAGCUAAUACCGCCUAAUAUUGAUUAUUGCAUGAUAAUUGAUUGAAAGAUGCUAUUGCAUCACUACCAGAUGGACCUGCGUUGUAUUAGCUAGUAGGUGAGGUAACGGCUCACCUAGGCGACGAUACAUAGCCGACCUGAGAGGGUGAUCGGCCACACUGGGACUGAGACACGGCCCAGACUCGUACGGGAGGCAGCAGUAGGGAAUCGUCGGCAAGGGACGAAAGUCUGACCGAGCAACGCCGCGUGAGUGAAGAAGGUUUUCGGGUCGUAAAGCUCUGUUGUAAGAGAAGAACGGGUGUGAGAGUGGAAAGUUCACACUGUGACGGUAUCUGACCAGAAAGGGACGGCUAACUACGUG